GUAACUUUUAAGUUUAGUAAAAUCAUUUAUAUACACCGAUGCGUAAUAUUUACAAUAUAAUACUGAUCCAAAAUAAACUAACAUAUUACAGAUAACACUGAAAAGGAGAAAUGAAAACAUUUUAACACACGGAAGUUCAACAUGGCGGACGAGGACAGACUCGGGUUUCCAAAUUAAAACCUGUAGUGACAGCAAAACUUUGACAUGUUGCUAUUUCCAAUCGAAAACUUUCACCUAGUCAAGUUCUUCUAACUCUUUAAUACAUACAUAUAGCUUCAAAUAAUCAAGUCACAGGAGAAGUCAGAUAUACAGAAAAUUUUGGAAAGGUCAAAUGAUUUCAGAGAUUUUUCUUUUAAAUUAAAUGCUAAACCCAACCAAAACCAACCCAACCUACAGCUUUCCCAUACCCUUUUAGUGUCUGUACAAAGAAUGUCUUCUUUGAUCCCACACAACCCUUCCAUCUCAAGAUAUUUACAAUAUUCACAGUCUGCUAUAAAGGAUCAGUAGAUUUAUCACCAGGUAAAACCUCACGGAAUCAGGACAAGGUAUCUUGCAUUUAUGUCAACUGAAAAACAAACACCACCACGGGAAGGAGAAAGUAAAAUCCUACUUUCAAAUAUAUAAAAGAAUCCAUUAAAGUGUAAUUUUGAAAUGUAAAACCAGAACUUUUUAAAGAGGGAAAUUAAAAAAAAAAAAAAAAAAAAAAAAAAAUCAACCUUAUCAUAAAAAUAAAACCAUUUGACCUUGACUCUUCAAACUGAUUUCUUGAUCUGUCCCUCCCUACCUCCAUUUUCAACCAGGCCGUUCUUAUUCACCACAGACAAUAGAAUCUAUAGUAAAUCCAUGAAAAGCAGUUCCUUAUCACAGAAGCCCUUAGAAACUUGACUUCCCUCCAGACACCAGAACGCUUUGCAGUCAGUCACAAACGCACCCACCUCACUAUCAGCAGCUUGGAAUGAUCCUGUUGUGUCAGUUAAGGGACCAUGAGGAGGAGGGACCCUCUAAUGCAGUCGGAUCCCACCUUCUCCGCCUGGAUGUCAGCGAGCUGCAGUCACUCCAACGUGCUCCCUGCUGAAGGAGCCAUCUCCUACAGACACAACAGCAUUCAAGCAUCUUUAACACUAAAGAACCCUGCAAGAGGUCCCAGUGUGUUACACCCGUGUCACAAGGUACUUGGAUUGUAUCCCUAGUCUCUGCUGACUGCACUGUGCAAUGACCAGGAGAGCAGCUACAAUCUGAUCCAUUUUUUCUGCUAACAAACAAGUUCUGGCUCCCAAGAAACUGCCC
rnacentral:lncRNA from 1 species